rnacentral:rRNA from 1 species
GGCAACAGCUCAAAUUUGAAAUCUGGCCCCCGGGUCCGAGUUGUAAUUUGUAGAGGAUGCUUUUGGUGCGGUACCUUCCGAGUUCCCUGGAACGGGACGCCAUAGAGGGUGAGAGCCCCGUCUGGUUGGACGCCAAUCCUUUGUAAAGCUCCUUCAACGAGUCGAGUAGUUUGGGAAUGCUGCUCUAAAUGGGAGGUAUAUGUCUUCUAAAGCUAAAUAUUGGCCAGAGACCGAUAGCGCACAAGUAGAGUGAUCGAAAGAUGAAAAGCACUUUGAAAAGAGAGUUAAAAAGUACGUGAAAUUGUUGAAAGGGAAGCGCUCAUGACCAGACUUGGGCUUGGUUGAUCAUCCAGGGUUCUCCCUGGUGCACUCUUCCGGCCCAGGCCAGCAUCAGUUCGCUGUGGGGGAUAAAGGCUUCGGGAAUGUGGCUCCCUCGGGAGUGUUAUAGCCCGUUGUGUAAUACCCUGUGGUGGACUGAGGUUCGCGCAUUCGCAAGGAUGCUGGCGUAAUGGUCAUCAGCGACCCGUCUUGAAACACGGACCAAGGAGUCGUCUUCGUAUGCGAGUGUUCGGGUGUCAAACCCCUACGCGUAAUGAAAGUGAACGCAGGUGAGAGCUUCGGCGCAUCAUCGACCGAUCCUGAUGUUCUCGGAUGGAUUUGAGUAAGAGCAUACGGGGCCGGACCCGAAAGAAGGUGAACUAUGCCUGUAUAGGGUGAAGCCAGAGGAAACUCUGGUGGAGGCUCGCAGCGGUUCUGACGUGCAAAUCGAUCGU